rnacentral:rRNA from 1 species
AUUAGAUACCCUGGUAGUCCACGCAGUAAACGAUGAAUACUAGCUGUUCGGGGCAAAUGAGCCUUGAGUGACACAGCGAAAGCGUUAAGUGUUCCACCUGGGGAGUACGCCGGCAACGGUGAAACUCAAAGGAAUUGACGGGGGCCCGCACAAGCGGAGGAACAUGUGGUUUAAUUCGAUGAUACGCGAGGAACCUUAUCCGGGCUUAAAUUGCGCCUGAAUACUGUGGAAACGUGGUAGCCGUAAGGGACGUGUGAAGGUGCUGCGUGGGUGUCGUCACCUCUCGCGGCGAGGUGUCGGCUUAUGUGCGAUAUCGAGCGCACCCCUUAUCUUCACUU